GCUGGGCAUGGUGGCACAUGCCUGUAAUUCCAGCUACAAAGAAGGCUGAGGCAGGAGGAUCAAGUUUGAAGUCAGCCUCAGCAACUUAACAAAAAGACCCUGCCUCAA
rnacentral:sRNA from 1 species